UGCCAGCCGCCGCGGUAAUACGGAGGGGGCGAGCGUUGUUCGGAUUUAUUGGGUGUAAAGGGAGCGUAGGUGGCAAUUUAAGUCAGAUGUGAAAUCUUGUGGCUCAACCAUAAAAGUGCAUUUGAAACUAGAUAGCUUGAGUUUGGAAGAAGAGAGUGGAAUUCUUAGUGUAGCGGUGAAAUGCGUAGAUAUUAAGCAGAACACCGGUGGCGAAGGCGGCUCUCUAUUCUGAAACUGACACUGAGGCUCGAAAGCUAGGGGAGCGAACGGGAUUAGAUA
rnacentral:rRNA from 1 species